rnacentral:rRNA from 1 species
UGCAGCUUGCUGCGGGUACUCGAGUGGCGAACGGGUGAGUAACACGUGGGUGAUCUGCCUUGCACUUCGGGAUAAGCUUGGGAAACUGGGUCUAAUACCGGAUAGGACAGCUGUUUAGUGUCAGUUGUGGAAAGUUUUUUCGGUGCAAGAUGAGCUCGCGGCCUAUCAGCUUGUUGGUGGGGUAAUGGCCUACCAAGGCGUCGACGGGUAGCCGGCCUGAGAGGGUGUACGGCCACAUUGGGACUGAGAUACGGCCCAGACUCCUACGGGAGGCAGCAGUGGGGAAUAUUGCACAAUGGGCGGAAGCCUGAUGCAGCGACGCCGCGUGGGGGAUGAAGGCCUUCGGGUUGUAAACUCCUUUCGACAGGGACGAAGCGUAAGUGACGGUACCUGUAUAAGAAGCACCGGCUAACUACGUGCCAGCAGCCGCGGUAAUACGUAGGGUGCGAGCGUUGUCCGGAAUUACUGGGCGUAAAGAGCUCGUAGGUGGUUUGUCGCGUCGUCUGUGAAAUUCCGGGGCUUAACUCCGGGCGUGCAGGCGAUACGGGCUGACUUGAGUGCUGUAGGGGAGACUGGAAUUCCUGGUGUAGCGGUGAAAUGCGCAGAUAUCAGGAGGAACACCGAUGGCGAAGGCAGGUCUCUGGGCAGUAACUGACGCUGAGGAGCGAAAGCAUGGGUAGCGAACAGGAUUAGAUACCCUGGUAGUCCAUGCCGUAAACGGUGGGCGCUAGGUGUAGGGGGCUUCCACGUCUUCUGUGCCGUAGCUAACGCAUUAAGCGCCCCGCCUGGGGAGUACGGCCGCAAGGCUA